rnacentral:snRNA from 1 species
GGAUGUGAGGACAAUCUGGCUGCGACAUCUGUCACCCCGUUGAUUGCCAGGGUUGAUUCAGCUGAUCUGGCUGGCUAGGCAGAUAUUCACUUCCUCCCUCACCACUCCACGUGCGUCCCUCCUGGAGCUGCUCACUCAGUCAAAGGGGAAGACCUUCCCCGCUAGAGGAGGACCAGUCUUAGGUCAAGGGUGUAUGAGUAGCUGCAUUCCACUGCUAGAACCUCCAAACAAGCUCUCAAAAGACAGAGUGGAUCAGAGAAUAAGACCCAACUACAUGUUGUCCACAAGAAGAUCACUUU